CCUCACCCUCCACCCCCCAACAGGCCCUGGUGUGAAUUGUUCCCCUCUCUGUGUCCAUGAGUGCUCAAUGUUCCAACUCCCAUUUAUGAGUGAGAACAUAUGGUGUUUGGUUUUCUGUUCCUGUGCUAGUUUGCUGAGGAUGAUGGCUUCCAGCUUCAUCCAUGUCCCUACAAAGAUGUGAACUCAUUCCUUUUUAUGGCCGCCUAGUAUUUCAUGGUGUAUAUGUACCACUUUUUUUAAUCCAUAUAUGUACCACAUUUCUUUAUGCAGUCUGUCAUUGAUA
rnacentral:lncRNA from 1 species